rnacentral:rRNA from 2 species
CAAUGGGGCGAGCCUGAUGCAGCGACGCCGCGUGAGGGAUGACGGCCUUCGGGUUGUAAACCUCUUUCAGCAGGGACGAAGCGAGAGUGACGGUACCUGCAGAAGAAGCACCGGCCAACUACGUGCCAGCAGCCGCGGUAAUACGUAGGGUGCGAGCGUUGUCCGGAAUUACUGGGCGUAAAGAGCUCGUAGGCGGUUUGUCGCGUCGUCCGUGAAAACUUGGGGCUCAACCCCAAGCUUGCGGGCGAUACGGGCAGACUUGAGUACUGCAGGGGAGACUGGAAUUCCUGGUGUAGCGGUGAAAUGCGCAGAUAUCAGGAGGAACACCGGUGGCGAAGGCGGGUCUCUGGGCAGUAACUGACGCUGAGGAGCGAAAGCGUGGGUAGCGAACAGGAUUAGAUACCCUGGUAGUCCACGCCGUAAACGGUGGGCGCUAGGUGUGGGUUUCCUUCCACGGGAUCCGUGCCGUAGCUAACGCAUUAAGCGCCCCGCCUGGGGAGUACGGCCGCAAGGCUAAAACUCAAAGGAAUUGACGGGGGCCCGCACAAGCGGCGGAGCAUGUGGAUUAAUUCGAUGCAACGCGAAGAACCUUACCUGGGUUUGACAUAUACCGGAAAGCCGUAGAGAUACGGCCCCCCUUGUGGUCGGUAUACAGGUGGUGCAUGGCUGUCGUCAGCUCGUGUCGUGAGAUGUUGGGUUAAGUCCCGCAACGAGCGCAACCCUUGUCCUGUGUUGCCAGCGCGUAAUGGCGGGGACUCGCAGGAGACUGCCGGGGUCAACUCGGAGGAAGGUGGGGACGACGUCAAGUCAUCAUGCCCCUUAUGUCCAGGGCUUCACACAUGCUACAAUGGCCGGUACAGAGGGCUGCGAUACCGUGAGGUGGAGCGAAUCCCUUAAAGCCGGUCUCAGUUCGGAUCGGGGUCUGCAACUCGACCCCGUGAAGUCGGAGUCGCUAGUAAUCGCAGAUCAGCAACGCUGCGGUGAAUACGUUCCCGGGC